AAGCUGUUCUCCCAUGGUCCUUCAUCUCUGCAAGCCCUAGAUCUCUUCUUCUCCUUGGAGCAGAGACUGCAAGUUGCUGAGAGCUGCUGAAACAAUGUGGCCAGGAUGACUGCAGCUGGAGAUAGACUGAAAAUGCUCCAGGAAAGCCCUCUACUUGGCCCAGGAUAGGUCACAUUUCCAUUCUGGACCAAUCACAACAAAGGACAAGAGUACACUCUGAUUGGCUGGCCCUGAGUCACACAGAGCCACUACAUAUAGUGGUGAGUAAAAGACAGACUGCAGAGGAAGAGCGACUACUAUAAAUCAGGGGAGUGGUCAAAACCAGCAGGUUCUGUCUCUACACAACCAAGGGUCACACAUUGAAGAGAAAAUGUUCCAUGAAUAGACGGCUAUGAACCAACCACUGGUGACCUACAAGAAAUAACCUGAGAAAUUAGAAGCCUACAGUGUAAAUCCUUUUCCAAGAAGAAGUUGAAUCUGGAAGAAAAUUUAGUGUGGGUGGAGGGGAAAAAUGAAAGAACUGGAAUAGUAAACAAAAAGUUUCAGAGGGCCACAGAUGGUAUUGGAUAGACAGAAGAACUGAUUCAACUGGGCAUUAGGAUCCACACCUGUAAUCCCUGCACUUUAGGAGACUGAGACAAGAGGAUUAAUUGCAAGUUUAAGC